GAUGAAGAACGUAGCGAAAUGCGAUAAGUAGUGUGAAUUGCAGAAUUCAGUGAAUCAUCGAAUCUUUGAACGCACAUUGCACCCGCCAGUAUUCUGGCGGGCAUGCCUGUUCGAGCGUCAUUUCAACCAUCAAGCCCCCGGCUUGUGUUGGGGACCUGCGGCUGCCGCAGGCCCUGAAAACCAGUGGCGGGCUCGCUAGUCACUCCGAGCGUAGUAAUACAUCUCGCUCAGGGCGUGCUGCGGGUUCCGGCCGUUAAAAAGCCUUAUUUACCCAAGGUUGACCUCGGAUCAGGUAGGAAGACCCGCUGAACUUAAGCAUAUCAAUAAGCGGAGGA
rnacentral:misc_RNA from 1 species